AACGUAGGAGGCGAGCGUUAUCCGGAGUUACUGGGCGUAAAGCGUAUGUAGGUGGCAAGGCACGUCAAAUGUGAAAGCUCCUGGCUAAACCAGGAGAGGGCGUGUGAUACGGCCUGGCUAGAGGGUGAUAGAGGAGCGUAGAAUUCCGGGUGUAGUGGUGAAAUGCGUAGAUAUCAGGAGGAACACCAGUGGCGAAGGCGGCUUUCUGGACGGUAACUGACGCUGAGACGCGAAAGCGUGGGGAGCAAACAGG
rnacentral:rRNA from 1 species